GAAAGAAUCCAACUCCUCCAAGAAUGAACCAACUUGUAAAUUUCUCAAUCGGGUGAGGCUGAGGCCGGCUAAUAUGGUCUCUGGAAAAUAACUAAAAUUUUGGCACUCCAUUAUUUGUAAAUUAUUAAGAAAAUGCAAUUCGCCUAAAUAUUUGGAAAUAGAUGUCAGCCCUUCGCAACUAUAUAUUUCCAAUGAUUCCAGAGAAGUGGAGGACUUCAGCCCACUUGGAAGAUAUGUUAAUUUACUACACUCUCCAACUGUAAUGCUUUUAAG
rnacentral:misc_RNA from 1 species